rnacentral:rRNA from 1 species
UACGUAGGGUGCAAGCGUUGUCCGGAAUUAUUGGGCGUAAAGAGCUCGUAGGCGGUCUGUCACGUCGGCUGUGAAAACCCGAGGCUCAACCUCGGGCCUGCAGUCGAUACGGGCAAACUAGAGUGUUGCAGGGGAGACUGGAAUUCCUGGUGUAGCGGUGAAAUGCGCAGAUAUCAGGAGGAACACCGGUGGCGAAGGCGGGUCUCUGGGCCGUAACUGACGCUGAGGAGCGAAAGCGUGGGGAGCGAACAGG